GUGGGGAAUAUUGCACAAUGGGCGAAAGCCUGAUGCAGCAACGCCGCGUGAGGGACGACGGCCUUCGGGUUGUAAACCUCUUUUAGUAGGGAAGAAGCGAAAGUGACGGUACCUGCAGAAAAAGCACCGGCUAACUACGUGCCAGCAGCCGCGGUAAUACGUAGGGUGCAAGCGUUGUCCGGAAUUAUUGGGCGUAAAGAGCUCGUAGGCGGUUUGUCGCGUCUGCUGUGAAAACCCGAGGCUCAACCUCGGGCCUGCAGUGGGUACGGGCAGACUAGAGUGCGGUAGGGGAGAUUGGAAUUCCUGGUGUAGCGGUGGAAUGCGCAGAUAUCAGGAGGAACACCGAUGGCGAAGGCAGAUCUCUGGGCCGUAACUGACGCUGAGGAGCGAAAGCGUGGGGAGCGAACAGGAUUAGAUACCCUUGUAGUCC
rnacentral:rRNA from 1 species